rnacentral:tRNA from 1 species
GGGGGUUUGGCUCAGUGGUUCUGCUGCAUGCCUUGCAAGCACAAGGGCCCAAGUUCGAUCCUUGGUACCCCCC